rnacentral:rRNA from 1 species
AUGGCGACGACCCGCGUGAGCCUGCUCCUCCUGCUAGCAGUUGCGCUCGCCGGCUCUGUUGCCGGGGCAUCGGCCUUCACCUGCACGUCGGGUCCUUGCUACAACGGCACGGCCGCUUUCUACGGCGACGCCGACGGCGCGGGGAAUGAAGCUGGAGUAUGCGGUUACGGGCCAGCGGUGGCCAAGCCGCCGUUCAACGCCAUGGUUUUUGCAGCAAGAGAUUACUCGCGGACCGCCGUGGGAUGCGGCAGAUGCUUCAACAUAACCUGUCGACACCCCGUGUGCAAUCCUGAUGGAGUCACGGUAACGUUCGCCGACUACUGCAGCGGCGGACCGUGCGUCGACAACGACGUCAUUGAGAUGAGCGGCCACGCGUUUUCCGCGAUAGCCCUGCCGGGCCGAGAAUCCGAGCUGCGCGCGUCACCCACUGUUCCUGUAACUUACCAACUAGUUGACUGCCGCUACUCAUCCAGCAUGGCCUACCUCGUCGACCCGACCGCGACAUCGGAGCGCUUCACUGUCGUACUCCUGUAUGUGCCAGGGGAUGCCUACCCCGGCCUGCUGACUGUUCACUUCAAAGAUGAGUCGAGCGAGGACUGGGUGGAUGCUGAUCCCGUUGGUCGCUAUAGGCUCCCCAAAUUCACAGCCACUAGGAAGAUGGUAGCCCCAAUUACGAUCAAGGUGGAAGGUCACUAUCUGAUUGGGCCAGCGCCGGAGAACCCCACCUGGAGUGUCACGGCGGCAGAUGUCAUCCCCGUCGGCUGGCACGGGGGGAAGACCUACUACGCGGCCUGA